rnacentral:rRNA from 1 species
CCCAAGGAUGGGGCCGCGGCCGAUCAGGUUGUUGGUGAGGUAAUGGCCCACCAAGCCUUUAACCGGUACGGGCCGUGGGAGCGGUAGCCCGGAGAUGGGCACUGAGACAAGGGCCCAGGCCCUACGGGGCGCAGCAGUCGCGAAAACUUCGCAAUAAGCGAAAGCUUGACGGGGCCAUCCCGAGUGCCAUCUGCUGAGGAUGGCUUUUACCCAGUAUAGAUAGCUGGGAGAAUAAGGAGAGGGCAAGUCUGGUGUCAGCCGCCGCGGUAAUACCAGCUCUACGAGUUGUAGGGAUGUUUAUCGGGCCUAAAGCAUCCGUAGCCGGCUGGACAAGUCCUCUGUUAAAUCCAGCGACCAAUCGUUGGUCUGCGGGGGAUACUGUCCGGCUAGGGGGCGGGAGAGGCCGUCGGUAUUCUUGGGGUAGGGGUGAAAUCCUAUAAUCCCAGGAGGACCACCAGUGGCGAAGGCUGUCGGCUAGAACGCGCCCGACGGUGAGGGAUGAAAGCUGGGGGAGCGAACCGGAUUAGAUACCCGGGUAGUCCCAGCUGUAAACGAU